rnacentral:tRNA from 1 species
GGAGGCAUGUUUCAGCAGUAGAAUGCCUGCCUGGCAAGCAUGAGGCCUUAAGUUCAAACCCCAGUACCACCA